CGCCUCUUCAUCUCUGGCAUGGUCUCGACUCGCCUCCCCAAAAUUGAUUUCUUUCAAGAUGACAAUUCAGGCUUUCAUUGAUUUCUUCAAGUCAGGGUUCUUAUUCCACUCAAUUGAAAUGAUCCAUCGUUCCUAUAUUGCAUUGCAUCUUCCUUCCCUUCUUCCAUUUUGUGUUAGGCUUAGGAUUAUUUAAUUUCAUAUUGUGUUAGGGUUAGGAUUAGGAUCAGGAUCGUUUUCAUUUUCAUUUUCAUUUUCAUUUUCAUUUUCAUUUUCAAUCGCAUCUCUAUGGUGGCUCUGCUAUAUUUUGUUGAAGGAAUGCACGUAAACAUCAGGUGGAGGGGUUCGGGAAUAGGAGAUUUGGUUUACAUCCAGUUCAGGCCCGAAAUCUCUUCAAGUCAAGGAACUUCGAUUUACAGGUUUGGGUGUCUCCUCUACAAAAUCAAACAACAUUUGUGUGGAACGUCGCCCAACCGAAAGUUGUAGCUAUUUUGUUGAAACGAGAAAAUGUUGAAUGGAAGUUGUGAUUCAAAUGUGGCCAAUGAGGGGGUGAUAGGAACACUUGUAAUCCAGGUUGCCAAGGUAUCCAAUGUUAAAAAAAGUGUUUGGCACAGGAGAUGGUUCCAUCGAACAAUACUUGGUUGGAUGUGCAGUCAAAGCUACUACGGAACAAGAUUAAUCGAUUCAACAAUCAAUGUCUGUACGAAAGGAAGUAUGAAGGUGAUGGUACUUCAUAGCUGUAAAAUAUGGUAGAACGUCUCUUGUGGUACUUCAGGCGAUUCUCCUUUUUAUAUAGUUUGCCAUUUUUUGAAA